rnacentral:lncRNA from 1 species
ACAGUGUUGAGCUUCUUCAAGCUGAUGUUGUGGAUGAAAGCCCGAUUGCUAUAGCGGUGGAUGGCGCAGAAAAGUUUGCCAGGGCAUCUCGUCACUCUGUCAAGGUGAACAAGAUCAAUGUGGCCAUCCAAACUAAAGAAGUUACCAGUGCUAAAGGAGGCCAUUCUGAAACAAGCCAUCUUGGUGGUUUUUCUAGGUGAGAACCUGUAUUUCCUUUCUUUUCCUUCAGUAAUUCAAACUUUGUAAUCACUUUGAUAUAAAUGAAUGAAAUUCACCUUUGUUC